rnacentral:rRNA from 1 species
UACAGAGGGCGCAAGCGUUGCUCGGAUUUAUUGGGCGUAAAGGGUGCGUAGGCGGCGUGGUAAGUCGGGUGUGAAAUCUCGGAGCUUAACUCCGAAACUGCAUUCGAUACUGCCGUGCUUGAGGACUGGAGAGGAGACUGGAAUUUACGGUGUAGCGGUGAAAUGCGUAGAUAUCGUAAGGAACACCGGUGGCGAAGGCGGGUCUCUGGGCCAUUACUGACGCUGAGGAGCGAAAGCGUGGGGAGCGAACAGG